CUUGUACUCCCUCCGUCCGAAAAUACUUGUCAUUGAAAUGGAUGUAUCUAGAAGUAUUUUAGUUCUAGACACAUCCAUUUUGAUGACAAGUAAUUCCGGACGGAGGGAGUACUUG
rnacentral:pre_miRNA from 1 species